rnacentral:rRNA from 1 species
AGAGUUUGAUCCUGGCUCAGAACGAACGCUGGCGGCGUGCCUAAUACAUGCAAGUCGCACGAGAAAGUACCUUCGGGUGCGAGUACAGUGGCAGACGGGUGAGUAAUACAUAGGUAACCUACCUCCAAGAUGGGGACAACCUUCCGAAAGGAGGGCUAAUACCGAAUGAGACCACAGUCACAUAGGUGACAGGGGUUAAAGGUGGCCUCUGCUUGCAAGCUAUCACUUGGAGAUGGGCUUAUGCACCAUUAGCUAGUUGGUAGGGUAAUGGCCUACCAAGGCUACGAUGGUUAGCUGAUCUGAGAGGUUGAUCAGCCACACUGGAACUGAGACACGGUCCAGACUCCUACGGGAGGCAGCAGUAGGGAAUAUUGCGCAAUGGGGGCAACCCUGACGCAGCGACGCCGCGUGGGUGACGAAGGCUUUCGGGUCGUAAAGCCCUGUCAGAGGGGAAGAAACACGGUAUGGCUAAUAUCCAUGCCGCUUGACGGUACCCUCAAAGGAAGCACCGGCUAACUACGUGCCAGCAGCCGCGGUAAUACGUAGGGUGCUAGCGUUGUUCGGAAUUAUUGGGCGUAAAGCGCGUGUAGGUGGCUUGUUAAGUCGGGUGUGAAAUCCCUGGGCUCAACCGAGGAAGUGCACUCGAAACUAGCUCGCUAGAGGACGGCAGAGGGAGGUGGAAUUCCUAGUGUAGAGGUGAAAUUCGUAGAUAUUAGGAGGAAUACCGGUGGCGAAGGCGGCCUCCUGGACCGUUCCUGACACUGAGACGCGAAAGCGUGGGUAGCAAACAGGAUUAGAUACCCUGGUAGUCCACGCCGUAAACGAUGGGUACUAGAUGUUGUAGGAAUUGACCCCUACAGUGUCGAAGCUAACGCAUUAAGUACCCCGCCUGGGAAGUACGGCCGCAAGGUUAAAACUCAAAGGAAUUGACGGGGGCCCGCACAAGCGGUGGAGCAUGUGGUUUAAUUCGAUGCAACGCGAGGAACCUUACCUGGGCUUGACAUCCCCGGACCGCCUCAGAGAUGAGGUUUCCCCUUCGGGGGCCGGGAGACAGGUGCUGCAUGGCUGUCGUCAGCUCGUAUCGUGAGAUGUCGGGUUAAGUCCCUUAACGAGCGCAACCCCUAUCCCUAGUUGCCAUCAUUCAGUUGGGCACUCUACGGAGACCGCCGGUGUUAAACCGGAGGAAGGUGGGGAUGACGUCAAGUCCUCAUGGCCUUUAUGUCCAGGGCUACACACGUGCUACAAUGGCCGGUACAAAGGGUUGCCAACCCGCAAGGGGGAGCUAAUCUCAGAAAGCCGGUCUCAGUUCGGAUUGGAGUCUGCAACUCGACUCCAUGAAGCUGGAAUCGCUAGUAAUGGCAGAUCAGAAUGCUGCCGUGAAUACGUUCCCGGGCCUUGUACACACCGCCCGUCACACCACGAAAGUUGACUUCACCAGAAGUCGCUGUCCCAACCGUAAGGAGGGAGGCGCCCAAGGUGAGGUCGAUGAUUGGGGUGAAGUCGUAACAAGGUA